rnacentral:rRNA from 1 species
UGCCGGUAUGAGUAGCGAAAGACAGGUGAGAAUCCUGUCCACCGUAAGACUAAGGUUUCCAGGGGAAGGCUCGUCCGCCCUGGGUUAGUCGGGACCUAAGGAGAGACCGAAAGGUGUAUCCGAUGGACAACAGGUUGAUAUUCCUGUACUAGAGUAUGUAGUGAUGGAGGGACGCAGUAGGCUAACUAAAGCAGACGAUUGGAAGUGUCUGUCUAAGCAGUGAGGUGUGAAUUGAGUUAAAUGCUUAGUUCUAUAACAUUGAGCUGUGAUGGGGAGCGAAGUUUAGUAGCGAAGUUAGUGACGUCACACUGCCAAGAAAAGCUUCUAGCGUUUAA